rnacentral:lncRNA from 1 species
AAAGUCAGAAUCACCUUCACUAAUCCAAAGGCAAGGUAAAAAAUGUCACGAAACAUCAUUUUCUAUCAAAACUGUAGCAAAUGAAAGCCUAUUAAUAGAACCAAUAGCAUGGUCAACGCGUAAAGUUUUCCCUAUCACAGCAACGAUUAAACAUGAUGCUUCUUUGCAAUGAAUAAAGUGAAUAGGUAAAUACAGCAAAGAAACCCAAAUAGAAACCACAAGGGACUCCUUAGAACAAUAAAUGGUAGUGGACCAUUUAAAGAUCCUCAUAGCUUUACAACUGAUAUAUCAUGUCUGCCUAACCCAAAUUUCUGGGAUAGUCUUCCUCUAACUGAAGCUUUCUUAAAACAUGUCAUUUAUCAAGCAAGGUGCUUGAGUACUGCUUUUUGAGCCAAGGAGAAAAGAGAACUUACCCACCAGAGACAGCUUGAAUGGUUUAGCCAUGGUCGAAACCUCAGCAACUAUAAAAUGAAUAGCAGGUUCGCCUCGAUGAAAGAUGCCCAUAUUAACAAAUAAAGAUAGCCAAUACGAACCUACAACAAUAUCAACAAAGGAUUUAAAGGGCCUAGAGGCAACAUUAGGGUCAAGGAUGGACAUUGGAUUGACUGCAGAAGCAUAUAAUAACUUAGGGAUAGUAGAAGAGUAAUAGGUAGAAGGAUUUGUGCUGGUGGUCAAGCUUAGGUGGGCCCAUAAAUAGGUUGCACACUAUCAGUGUUUGUUUUGUCACGAUCUAAGGUUUGAGAUAGAUUGUGAGCAUGCAUUUGCAAAGAGGCAGUGGCUUGUUUGUGAUUAAUGGUCAUUAAAAACAUUAGAGGCGGUUGGGCAGGAUUAAGAAGGGCCAAUCCAAUGAGGGAUGCAGCAGCUGUUGGUGAUGAGUGGCAAUGAUAGAAGGCAACAAAGUCAAUGGAAGCAACUGUUGGUGAUGAGACGCAUACGACUGGCUAGGGUUUGACGCACGCGUGUGUGAAAGAGACACGAUCAGUGGGAUUUGGUAAGGGUGAUGGCUAUGAGGCAGUUGUAGGGUGGCAUGGAAGGGAUUAAAUCAUCACUCACCAAAAGGAGUUGUGUGUGGUGAAAGGCCUUCCGGCUAGUUGCAUGGUGGUCGGUGGUGAGGGGUGGUGCUGACAGUGUCUUGUCGCCACCAUCGGCAGCCGGUGAGGCCAUACCAGCAACAAGAAAGUAAAAGGAGUGUGGCGGCUAUAUGAAUUGGGGUUUCAUCGUUUUAUCUUUUUUUGUGUAUUAAACUAUCUGGUAUUUGAUGAGCAUAUAAUAUGUACAUAUUUUUACGCUUAAUUAUAUGAUUGAUAGUUAUUUUUAUAUGUUAUUUUUAAUUAAUUGAAUUAUUUUGUUAAAUAGGAAAUUAAUUGGAGAUUAUGGAUAAAAAAGGCAUGAAGAAGUUUAAUUUGGGAAGUAAUGAAGAUUAGAUUGGAAAUUAAUUGGAAGACAAGAAAACCAAAAGCGGAAGUCAAUCUCUUCAAAUAAUGAAUGGUGGACAUGCAUUUAGAAAACAAAGAUUUGGUGAUGGCAAUUGCACAUGCAUGGCUUUACAAUUUUGGAAAGGAAUUUAAAGGAACCCUUAGAGCUUCCAAUUUAAAAAAAGGGAAACAAACUUAUGGCUUAUGGCGUUGACAAGUAAUGGUGGCAUUAAUUGGGAAAAUUGACUUUAGAUUGGAAAUUGGAUCCAGCCAACAAAGUGUACAAGAUUUGGCCAAUAAUUGCAUGGUCCUGGGCAUUAUAUGAUGGUAAGCUAGAAACUAAAAAAAGGACGCAAGGAGAGACAAGAGACAAAGAGAAGAGAAGGGCUGCAGCAAUUUAAUUCUCCAUGGCUGGUUUUAUUUAUUUUGUUGCUCCCAAUUCAAGUGUAUUUAACUAAUUUUCUUAUAUUAAGGUUAAGGAUAAAAUCUUAUUCAAUGAAAUAAUCAUCUUUAUAUUCAAUUAAUUCCCUACAUAUGUGCUUUAAUGCUUAUAGUUCUUGUUUCACAUGAUUAGUUAGAUGUUAUUAAAUUCUUUUAACCAAUUCUAUCAUGCAUUAUUGAUUGUCAGGAUUAAUAUUUGACUAAAUCUAUGCUUAGAUCUAUAAAGUUUAUAUAUGAUUAUCUUUGAUUCUGUGUCUUUCAUUAAAUUAUUUACACAGAGUGCUUAGGAAGAUUUUGACUCUUUGUUAUUUAUUAUGUUUACAUAAGAUGCUUAGAUAUCAUACUAUUAAGCAGAAAAAGAACCUACAUAAGAUUAAUUUUAAUUGGUCUUAAUUGUUAUAUUCAUGAGAUGACAUGUAUUGAUUUCUGCUGUACGGCCAAGGCGGAUGUACGGUACAGCAGGGUAAAUUUUAUUGAUAUCAAUAAAUUUUUUUAUCCUCAUUAAAGGAUUCUUGCGCGAUUGAAGAUAAAAAAUUAUUUAAUUGCAAGAGACAUUAGGUUUAGAAUCGGUGAUAAAACUACCUUACAACUGUAAGUUGUAUAUGUUAUAUUUGUUAACUUACAAAAUUCAUACUUUUAAACUAGGAUGCCUAAUGCACUCGUAAUUAGUCCAACUCAAUUAGAUCAGAUUGUGAUAAGAUCAAGUCAAAUUCAAAAAUCUAAAGAAACCAAUGUACAAACUAUCUAUGACACAAAAUUUUAAUCCGAUUUAAACAUAGAUUAGAUUAUAAGCUCGAAUUAAAUUCAGAUUUUUUUUAAUAUAAAUAAUGAUUGGGUUGAUCCAAACCCGAAUUUGUCCAACCCUAUCUUAAAGUUUCAACAUUUCAUUUCAUCGAAGUCGAUCAUUAACUUACAAGAAAUCCAACAUACAAAAUCACUAGAGUUCAAUGGAGAGAAAUUUAUCAUGCCAAUAAUAAAAUUACAAAUGUGUAGGCACAAGCAAAAGUUGCAUUCCACUAGUUAUAAUUUAGGUUGACUUUUAUUUUUAUUAAAAAAACACAAAAAAGAAUUUAAAAUUUUACUUUGAAUUCAUUGUUUGGUUGUUUGAUUUCUUUUAUUUUAAAUUUCGUUUAUUUUUCAUGGUUAUUGGUUAAUUUUUUUCUUUGUCUAGUUAGUUUAUGAGUGUUUGGGAAUGCGAUUCAACAAAUCGUUUGGUAAAAAAAGAGUCUAGAAUUGAGAGUAAUCAAGCUAGUUCUUCUCAAGUGAUGGAUGUCCCAAAUAGAAUAUUGCCAGUACUACCACCAGUGCAAGCAGAGAAAACCCUUAGAGAAUAUUUUUCACCACUUGCAGUCAACCAACCAUCUUGUAUUGUGCUGCCACAAACGACAGCAACACACUUUGAGCUCAAGCCCUUUGUCAUUCAGCUUUUACCAUCUAUCCAUGGGUUAGAGAGAGAGGAUCCAUAUUUGCACAUUAAGGAAUUUCUUGACAUAUGCUCUACAUUUUGUUUUCAAAAUUUUAAUGAUGAGUCAAUUAGGCUUCGUAUGUUCUCUUUCUCAUUAAAAGACAAAGUGAAAGCUUGGUUGAAAUUACUUCCUACUAGGUCUAUUACUACGUGGGAUAAAUUGAUUAAUAAGUUCCUUACCAAGUUUUUCCGUAUGUCUAAAACAAAUACCCUUAGGUGAGAGAUAAGUGAGUUUUAUCAAAGAGUGGGUGAGCAAUUUUAUGAGUGUUGGGAAAGAUUUAUUGAUUUACUCUUUAAGUGUCCCCACCAUAGUUUUGAGAAAUGGAGACUUAUACAAUGCUUUUAUAAUGGUUCAAGUAUGUCAAAUUAUCAUAUGGCAGAGUUUAUGAAUGGUGAGAGAUUUUUAAACCUACAUGAAGAGGCUGCAUGAGAUUUCUUUAAUUCACUUUAUGAGAAUUCUCAAUAGUGGGAUUAUUCAAAUCAAAGAGAAAAAUCAUCUCAAGUUUCACAAAAGAGUCUUUAUGAAGUUAGUGAUGAUUUUGAUGUGAAAGCUACUCUAACUACACUUUCUAGGAAAAUAAAUGCCUUAGCUAUGAACCAAUCCAUGAGUCAUCACCCUAGUGUAGCUAAUGAGGUUUGUGCUAUUUGUUCCAACCUAUCUCAUACAACACAAAAUUGUCCAUCAUUACUAGCCUAUCAAGAGGCUUAUUCUGAGCAGGUACAUGCCUUACAAUCAUAUUAUAAAACCUCUAAUAGUCCAUAUUCACCUACAUAUAGUUCUAAUUGGAGGAAUCACCCUAAUUUUUCUUGGAAAGAAAAUCAACUUUUAUCAAACUAAGGAGGGCAACAAUUUAGCAUGCCCAAUCAACAAUUUUUCCCUCAUAACCAAGUAUAUCCUCUUGCCCAACAACCUAUGUCUCAAUUUGUUGCAACCCAACAAAGAAAACCUUCUUUAGAGAAACACUUCAAAAUUUCAUUCAGUCUACCCAACAAGCCUUUCAGUCAAACACUCAAGUUAUUCUAAAGCUUCAAUAUUAAUUGGGUAAAUUAGCAACGACUGCAGUUGAGAGAGAAAAAGGAAAAUUCCCAAGUCAACCAAUUCCUAAUCCUAACGAAGUGCAUAAAGUUGGAUCGAGUUCAAGCCAUCAGCAUGAAGAAACAAAAUCUAUUAUGACAUUGAGAAGAGGAAAAUUAUUUGACAACAAGGUGGAGGUUCGAACAAGAAAAAUAUUAGAACCUACUUCUGCAAAUCCAGUUCCAUCACAAGACACAUCACCGGAUGAUCCAGAAGAAAGUGGCCCACCAGCUUACAUUCCUGAGGCUCAUUUUCCUCAAAGGUUAGCAAAGAUAAAUAAAGGGACUUCAACAAGUGAGAUUAUCAAAAUCUUCAAGCAGGUUAGUAUAAACAUCCAUUUACUCGAUACUAUUAAGCAAGUUCCCUCCUAUGCCAGGUUUUUGAAGAAUUUAUUCACUAAAAAGAGAAAUUUGCAUGUCACCAAAAAUACAUUUUUAACUGAACAAACUAGCAAUUUACUUCAAUGUAAAAUGCCACCAAAAUUUAAGGAUCUGGGUUCCCCUACUAUCUCAUAUGUUAUAGGGAACCAAUUUUUUGAUAAAGCACUAUUGGAUUUAGGAACUAGUGUUAAUCACUUACCUUAUUUUGUUUACAUGCAACUUCGACUAGGUGAAUUAAAGUCAAUUUCCAUUAUUUUACAACUUGUUGAUAAGUUAAUGAAAAUACCUCGUAAUAUUAUAAAGGAUGUGUUGAUACAGAUUGACAAAUUUUAUUAUCUACAGUUGAUGAUAGUGUAAUUGCAGAAGUCAAUGCCUUACUCGAUGCAACUCCAAUUAUGGACACAACUGAAUGGAAGAUAAAGCCAAAACCACUGUCUCAUUCUGAGAAGAAGAUUAGCCCAUCUGUGGAGACACCACCAAAAUUGGAGCUCAAAGCACUGCCCGACACUCUAGAGUAUGCAUUUUUAGGAGAAUUUGACACCCUACCUGUUAUUAUUUCUUCUUCCCUCGAUCUUGAGCAAAAAAAGUAAGUUCUUGGGUAUUCUAAAAGAGCAUAAGGAGGCAAUAGGACGGACCAUUGCUGAUAUUAAAGGUAUUAAUCCAGUAGAUUGCAUGCUUCAUAUUUAUCUUAAAGAAAAUGCUAAGCCUAUUAGGGAGAUGCAACGUAGGCUAAAUCCUAACAUGAAAGAAGUGGUAAGAGCUAAAGUAAUUAAAUUAUUAGAUGCAAGAAUUAUUUAUCCUAUUUCAGGUAGCUCUUGGGUUAGCCCUGUGCAAAUUGUUCUUAAGAAAUCUGUUGUUACGGUAGUUAGUAAUGCUAAUAAUGAAUUAAUUCCCACUGGAGUAAUUACAAGUUGGCGUGUUUGCAUUGAUUAUAGAAAAUUGAACUCAAUCCUAAGAAAAUAUCAUUUUUCUUUUUCAUUUAUUGAUCAAAUGCUUGAUAGACUGACAGGUCAUGACUUUUAUUGUUUUCUAGAUGGAUAUUCAGGUUAUAAUCAGAUCCCUAUAGCUCUAGAGGACUAGGAGAAAACUACUUUUACUUGCCCUUUGGAACUUUUGCAUAUAAGAGAAUGUCAUUUGGUUUAUGCAAUGCACAUGUUACCUUUUAAAGAUGCAUGCUUAGUAUUUUUUCUGACAUGGUUGAGAGAUUUCUUGAUGUUUUUAUGGAUGAUUUUUCUAUUUAUGAAGAUUCUUUUGAUGAAUGUUGGCAGCAUCUAACAUUGGUUUUGCAGAGAUGUAAAGAAAAGAACUUAGUUUUAAAUUGGGAAAAGUGUCACUUCAUGAUAAAAUAAGGUAUUGUUCUUGGUCAUAUAAUUUCCAGCAGAGGUAUAGAAGUUGAUAGAGUCAAGGUAGAUUUAAUUUCUAAUCUUCACCUCCCAAAUCCGUAAAAGAAGUAAGAUAUUUUCUUGAACAUGUUGGUUUUUAUAGAAGAUUCAUUAAAGAUUUUAGUAAAAUUUCUAGACCCUUAUGCAAUUUACUUGUUAAGGAUGCACCUUUUAUCUUUGAUGAUUCUUGUCUUGAUGCUUUUAAAAAAACUUAAGAAAUUGUUGACUUCUUCACCUAUCAUUCAGCGACCUAAUUGAGAUUUGCCUUUUGAAAUUUUACGUGAUGCAUAUGAUUACACUGUAAGAGCAGUUUUAGGACAAAAAUUAGAUCGUGUGCCUUAUGUCAAUUAUUAUGCUAGUAUGACACUCAACGAUGCACAGUUGAACUAUUUAACUACAGAAAAAGAAAUGCUAACUGUGGUGUUUGCUCUAGAUAAAUUUAGAUCUUAUCUUAUAGGUUAUAAAAUGAUUAUUUUUACUGAUCUUGCUGCUUUGAAAUAUUUGCUCACUAAGAAAGAUGCUAAGGCAAGAUUGAUUCGUUGAGUCUUACUUUCACAGGAAUUUGAUAUUAAAUUUAGAGAUAAAAAGGGUUCUGAAAAUGCGGUGGCAGAUCAUUUAUCUCGCCUUGAUCUUCAAUUUAUCUCAGAAUCCUUACCUUUGAAUGAGGGUUUCCUAGAUGAACAACUUAUGAGUGUAAAUGUUGUACCAUUGUUUGCUGAUAUAGUUAAUUACCUUACUACUAGUCAAAUCCCAGAACACUGGACCAAGUAAGAUAGAACAAAGUUCUUAUUCGAAGUGAAGAAUUUCUUUUACGAUGAUCCUUAUUUAUUUAAAUAUUGUGUUGAUCAGAUUAUUAGGAGAUGUGUUCCAGAGAAUGAAAUUCAAAGUGUCAUCUCUUUUUGCCAUGAACAAGCUUGUGAAUGCCACUUUGGUGCUAAAAAGAGAGCAAUAAAAAUUUUAUAGUGUGGUUUUUAUUGCCCUACUCUUUUUCAUGACGCUUAUGUUUUUUGUUCUUUAUGUGACAAGUGCCAACGCAUGAGUAGCAUUUCAAAGAGGAAUAUGAUGCCACUCAAUCUUAUUCUAGUAGUUGAGAUUUUUGAUGUGUGGGGUAUUGAUAUUAUAGGACAUUUUCCUCAAUCUUUUGGUUAUCAGUAUAUAUUGGUUGCAGUUGAUUAUGUGUCGAAGUGGGUUGAAGUUGUUCCAUGCAAAACCAAUGAUCAUAGGGUUGUAGUGAAGUUCGUAUAAAGUAAUAUCUUAUCUCAUUUUGGUUUCCCUAGAACAAUAAUUGGUGAUGGUAGUACCAUUUUUUGCAAUAAACCUUUCAAAACUCUUUUAGACAAAUAUUUCAUUACACACAAGGUUGCCACCCCAUACCAUCUUCAAACCAGUGGCCAAGUAGAGAUAUCUAAUAGAGAGAUCAAGCAAAUUUUGGAAAAAACAGUUAGGCCAGAUAGAAAUGAUUGGUCUUUGAGACUUGAUGAUGCAUUAUAGGCAUACAAGACUACGUUCAAAACACCAUUUGGGAUGUCACCUUAUUGACUUGUGUAUGGAAAAUCAUGUUAUCUACCAGUAGAACUGAAGCUUCGUGCAUAUUGGGCUAUCAAGAAAUUCAAUUUUGACAUGCAACAGGCUGGUUCCAAGAGAAGAUUACAACUAGCAGAACUUGAACAGAUCAAGAAUAAUGCUUAUGAGAAUGCUAAGAUUUGCAAGCAUCGAAUGAAAGUCUUUCAUGAAAAGUACAUUUUGAGAAAAUCCUUUGCAUCAGGUCAGAAAGUACUUUUAUACAAUUCUCGAUCUCUUUCCAGGUAAGUUACGUUCUCGAUGGUUUGGUCUUUUUAUAGUUCAUACUGUCUUCCCUUAUGGAGCAGUUGAGAUUGAAAAUCCUAAAAAUGGUGAUUUAUUUAAAGUCAAUAGUCAAAGAUUAAAACUAUUUUUAGAGUUAAAAACACUAGAAGUUGAGGAGAUACUUUUAGAUGACCAUGUUUAUCAGGAUUAAUUAAUCCCAUCUUUACGUUCUUGUUUUAUUUAAAUAGUAGGUUUUCUUUUCAUUUUUUUUGUUUUUCUUUUCUAGUAUUUUUCUUUUCUAACGUUUUCUUUUUAUUUCUCAUUUUGUUUUAAGCUUCCCCAACCUAUUCAGGUGUGAUCUCUCCAACUUUUUCUUUUAUUAUUUAUGUUAAAUCUUUUCCAUUUUUGCAUGCGUAUCUUUUAUUUAUUAAAAAUUGAGGACAAUGUUCCGAAUAAGUUUGGUGGUGGGAAUAGUGUGUGUCUUUUUUUAUUUAAAAAAUUCAAAAAAUUCAAAAAAAAAUUGUUUGUUUUUACGUGAAAAGCGAAUGAUAAGAACUUGACUGACAAUUAAUAUGAUUAUUAGAAAUGGUUGAAUAUUGUCUUAGUUUGUAGGUUCUUGUGUUAAUUCCUCUUAAUUGAGAUUCUUUAAACUCUAUGCGCACUAAUAUUAAUUCUUUCUUAAUUUUAACUAAUAUGAGAUUGAAGCAGCCUGAGUUGAAAAUUUUAUUUAGAGUAAAUGACUGUUUGUCUUGAUUCUUAUCUUCACAAUACAAAAUAGUAUACACAGGCACCAAAGUAAAAAAUAGCUACCUUGAGAAUGAAGCUGUCAUUGAGUAAUUUGGGCCCAUGUGCCACCAAUUUGUAGAGGAUAAUCUACCAUGAGAAGAAGGCUACCUUAAGGGGUAGAGUGAAAGUUUCUAACUAUGGUUAAAAAAAAGAAAAAGAAAAAAAGAAAAAAAUCAAGUGCAUGUGCUGAAAUGAAAAAAAAAAUCAAAAGAAAAUGCAUCUAGAAGUCUGUGAAAAAAAAAAUGGAGAUCAAGAUACUAAGAUUAGUUUGACCUACUCUUUUCUUUGUUCAAGGCGAAAGCUGUUGAUAUUGAAGAUUUUGAGAAUGGUUUUUAAUUGAAUUGAUUCACACACACACUACAAGAAUCAAAAGAGAGAUGAGAUUGACUAUUGAAUCAAAGUUAGAACUUUGCCAUUAUUUGAAAUUUUCUUUGAGCUAUAUAAUUUAUGCAAUCUUUGAGGAUAUUUUUAUGUUUUAUUUAAAGUUUUUUAUUUUAUUUUAUUUUUAAAAUGAUGUUUAUUGGUAUAAUCAUUGAAGCCCUCACGAGACUAUAAAUAACUCGUCCACUACGGCCGCCUAAAGGUUUAAAAGCUUGUUGUAUACGCUAAAUGCAAUCGCGAUUGCCUGCGAAAGUGGUUUAGUUAGGAUUUACUUUUCGUUAUUUUUAUUUUUGUUUUCAAUUUUAGUUUUGCUCAAGGACUAGCAAAAUUUAAGUUUGGGGAGCAUAUAAUAUAUACUUAUUUUACCCUUAAUUAUAUGAUUACUAGUUAUUUUUAUUUAUUAUUUUUAAUUAAUUGAAUUAUUUUGUUGAAUAGGGAAUUAAUUGGAGAUUAUGGAUAAAAAAGGUCUGAAGAAGUUUAAUUUGGGAAGUAAUGAAGAUUAAAUUGGAAAUUAAUUGGAAGCCAAGAAAACCAAAAGCUGAAGUCAAUCUUUUCAAAUAAUGAAUGGUGGACAUGCAUUUAGAAAACAAAGAUUUGGUGAUGGCAAUUGCACAUGCAUGGCUUUACAAUUUUGGAAAGCAAUUUAAAGGAACCCGUGAGCUUCCAAUUUAAAAAAGGGGAAACAAACUUAUGGCUUAUGAUGUUGACAAGUAAUAGUGGCAUUAAUUGGGAAAAUUGACUUUAGAUUGGAAAUUGAAUCCAAAUUGGAUCCAGCCAAUAAAGUGUACGGGAUUUAGCCAAUAAUUGCAUGGUCCUGGGCAUUAAUAAUGGCAAGCUAGAAACUAAAAAAAGGACGCAAGGAGAGACACAAGACAAAGAGAAGUGAAGGGCUGCAACAAUUUAAUUUUCUAUGGUUGGUUUUAUUUAUUUUGUUGCUCCCAAUUUAAAUAUAUUUAACUAAUUUUCUUAUAUUAAGAUUAAAGAUGAAAUCCUAUUUAAUGAAAUAAUUAUUUUUAUAUUCAAUUGAUUCCCUACAUAUGUGCUUUAAUACUUAUGAUUCUUGUUUCAAAUGAUUAGUUAGAUGUUAUUAAAUUAUUUCACCAAUUCGAUCAUGCAUUAUUGAUUGUUAGAAUUAAUAUUUGAUUAAAUCUAUACUUGGAUCUAUAAAACUUAUAUAUGAUUAUCUUUGAUUCUGAGUUUUUCAUUAAAUUGUUUACACAGAGUGCUUAGGAAGAUUUUGACUCUUUGUUAUUCAAUAUGUUUACAUACGAUGCUUAGAUAUCAUACUAUUAAGCAGAAAACGAAUCUACACAAGAUUAAUCUUAAUUGGUCUUAUUUGUUUUAUUCAUGAGACGACAUAGAUUGAUUUCGAGUUGUCACUCUAAAAUUGAGGAUUAAUUAACAAUUAGAUAAUUACUAGUUGAAUAGUGGUGGAUUAUGAAACUUUGGUAAUUUUUGUCUUAUUGAAUUCUCAUUUGCUUUAAUUGUUUUCUUAUUUUAAUUAGUUUUAUUUCUCUUAAAAACUCAAUUUGCUCAACUAGGUUAGGAUUAAUAUUAAUUUUAGAUUUAAAUUAGACUUUUCAAUUUAUAACAAUCACAGUGGGUUCGACCUCGUUAUCACUAUUGUAUUUCUAGAUUCGUGCACUUGUGACUAUAUUAACGUUUUUCACAACAGUAUUCGAAGACCACAUUGAGCUUUGACUAAUCCAUAUUUGAGCCGGGUAGGACCACUAGAGUGGUAAAUCUCUCCCAAUAAGUAUUUAACGCAACUGCAUUCCCAAGUUUCGAACCGAGAACCUUUGUUAAGAUAGAAUAUCUCCAUGCUAGAUAAUCUACGCGCUUAUUGGUUUCAUCUUUUUAUCUCUUACAGUUCUGCUAUGCAUGCUCACCGAGGGAAUGAUUGAUUGAGACAUUCAAUUUGAUAUUUAAAAGUCUAACCAAAGAGUAUUUUGAGCUUGACUUUUACCUUAACGAACCAUUUUCAUAGAUUCAUAAGUUUGUCCUUAUUACAUACAUAUGAAUCUUUUACUACAACGUCCAAGUUUGUUCAACCAUUUAGGUACAAUAUAAUAUGGAAAAAAUAAUAAUCUUAUUCAAAUAACCAUACACUUAAGAUUUUAUAUGAAAAUAACUCAAUUAAUUUAUUGGUCAGAAAUUUUAUUUAUUACAAAUAAAAAGUAAGCUUUAAAAAGCAUAGAUCCAUAAUACAAAUUAUUUACUGCUUUGGUUAAUGCUUCCAAUGCUGGAGGCCUCCCAUUAUAGAUUUAAACAACGAGAACUUUAACCAGCAGCUGUGUUUACUUAAAAUGAACAAGAAGGUUACUCACAUGAGUAAAGAUGAAGAGAAAGCCGAGGUUUACUAGGGACAACAACAAGUGGGAUUUUUCUAGGCAUUGUCAGUCCAAAUCUGUCCUCCAUGUCCAAAUCCUCAUUCUUCAUAUCACCAGGUAAUUUCCAUUCAAAACCAUAUAAAAGAUUUGCCAAAGUUGACUGAACAACCUUAAGCCCUAGACCAUAACCCGGGCAUAUCCUCCUCCCAGAUCCAAAUGGCAGCAGUUGAAAAUCAUGUCCUUUAACAUCAAUAUUUUUACCGAUGAAUCUGUGAGGCCUAAAUUCAUUAGGCUUUUCCCACAUGGUUGGAUCUCUUCCUAUUGCCCAUACAUUAACAACCACACGAGUGUUUCUUAGAAUAUCAUAGCCAGCAACUCUGCAAUCAUCUCUAGCAACCCGAGGAAGAAGCAAUGGUGCCACAGGGUGGAGACGCAUCGUUUCUUUAACAAGUGCUUCUAUAUAUGGAAGGUUAACAAUGUCCUUUUCUUCUACCCAUCUGUCUUUCCCAAUCACUCUAUCUAGUUCUUCAGUCGCCUUUUGAAUAGCUUCUGGAUUUUUCAAGAGCUCUGACAUUGCCCAUUCCACGCUGAUUGCCGAUGUGUCAGUUCCAGCAGUUAAUAGAUCCUAAGAAUCAAAAUGAAAAACGAAUUAUGAUGAUACAGAUUUUCAAUACAGAAGACACCUUGAUAGUUGCAUUAUUUGGUGAUGUUUAAAUUACUCUGUGGGGAAACUAUUGCCUCAAUCAUUUAAAAACCAAAUUAUUUUCUGUUUUAUUGCACAUAUCAAUUUAGUACGUUAUACUUAAAAGAGUUAAUUUCCAUUAAUCACUAGAUAAAUUGGUAGAUUUUAAUUUAUCCCCAAGCUGUUAAAAACAUCAAUGUAGCCCUCAUUUAUCAGUACACGAGAAUGAAAUUCUUUCUCGAUCCUCUUGGUUCUCAAUAGUAAACCAUGAGAAAGGGUUAUUAUUUUCAAAAGAUUUGGAAAAUAAAUUGAAAUAUGUCAUACUUGAAAACUACUAUUUAGUUUUUUUAAAAAAGUACACGAAUUAAAUUCAAAUUUAUGAAUACGUUACUACUUCACGAGUUUUUACUAGUACACCGAACUUCAAAUUUACCUGGAUUAGUGCCUUUAUAUGUUCUCUUUCAAGCUUAACUUCAAGAGAAGGAUCAUCCGCAAGUUGCAUAAGAACAUCAACCAUAUCAUGAACCCCAUAAUCCUUAACAGAUUUUCUCCUCUCAUGGUGCUCAUCUAAAAUACCCUCGUAAAAUUUAUCAAGCUUCUUGCUCACAUCCUUCAUUCUCUUAACAUGCCCUUGUAAAUCAAAAGAAGCAAGCCAUGGAAUUGAGUCCCCAAUAUCCAAAAUACCAAUAAGCAAGAACAAUUCUUCAAUCAUUUCCGUGAAGUCUUUUGGAGUCACAGUAUUUUUUUCAGCUUCGUCCGUAUACCUUUUCCCCAACACCAUCCGACAAAUCGAAGUAAGAUUGAGUGUGUAGAGACGAUCUUUCAGAUGAACAGGUGUGGAAGCUGAUUUGAACAACUCCGAGAGGAAAGCAUUUCUUUCUUCUACCCUUAUGUACUCAAACUGAUCCAAGCGUUUUGCACUGAGAAGUUCCAUUAGGCAGAUUUUGCGAGCCUGGCGCCAAUAUGGGCCAUAGGGUGCAGUUGCCAUUCCUGAGUAAUUGUAAGUUGUGUACUUCCCAGCAAGAAGAGCUGGCCUUGAAGCAAAGCUAAUGUCAUGAGUCUUGAGCAGAAGCUCUGCUACUUCAGCUGAUGAGCCUACAACAACCGGGGAGAGGCCGAAUUUUAGGUGCAUAAGGGGGCCGUAUUUUUGGGAGAGAGAGUGGAUGGAGACGUGAGGGAGAGGGCCGAUGAGGUUCAGGUUUCCGAUCAAUGGCCAUGGCCUUGGACCCGGUGGCAAGUUUAGUUUACGGGAAAAUUGGCGGUGAAACAAGAAGAGGACGAUGGGGAGGAAGAAGAGGAUUGAGUAAAAUAUAGCUGAGUUUGAAGGACCAGUCAUAGGAUUUUCCAUUAUUUUGGAUAAACUGUAAAAGGUGGUGACGAUGAUUUGAUUAUUGUGUCUGUGAAAGUGGAAGUGAAAGAGGUAUUUAUAAUGAUAUAAACAAGGAAGAGUAAAAUAAUCCCAUUCCAUUGUAGAUUUGAAAAGCAUAAGCAAGGGAUAGUUUGGUACUUUUAUUAAAGAAUAAUUUAUUUUUUCAAUUCUAACUUUUUUUUUUGAAAGAGAAAGUAAAGCUUUCAUUAAGAAUCAAUAGCGAGUAACAACAAAAUCUCAUCUGGGUAAUUUCCCAGCCAAACAGCAGAACUUACAUACUCUAAAGCUUUCUUUGCUAGCCCAUGAGCAAUACGAUUGAAAGAUCUUGAAACAUGCUGGAUUUGCACCCUACCUAGCCUCUUUAAGCUAUCUUGAAUUGUGGCUAUCUUCCAGAAGAUUUCCGUUCUGCUUCCUUUUCUGUUACAAGCAAGAUCAACCACCUCUUUUGAAUCUGACUCUAUGAUCAUUGGCAGAAAAUUUGUAUUUUGAGCCACCUGGAUGCCAAAAUUGAUUGCCUCUGCUUCCAUGCAGUCGACAUCCCCUUUGUAAAUGGUAUUCUGAACAGCUGCUGCUACAACCUUUGCUCUCGAGUCUCUGAUAACCACUCCGAGGCUUGCUGUCUGAUUUGAGGGUCUGAUGGCAGCAUCCACAUUCACCUUAUACCACCCAUUUGGAGGAGGUAGCCAUGUUUGUUGGUUGUUGCUCUGGUUCUGUGAAACAGUUUGGGUAGCUGGGAUUUUAAUCCUUCUGUAUGACUCUACAACUGCUGCAGCCCUUCCCACUGAUAUUUGAGCAUCUUCUUCCUUCCCUUUGAAAAUGAAUAGAUUUCUAGAAGACCAAAUUGACCAGCAUGUAGCAAUAAUAAGUUCCAUGUCCUUCAUACUCGCAAUUUUCCCCAUCUCCUGGAGGGUGCUUAAUAAAUCCUGUUGAGCCAACAUCUUCAUGUUCUGGUGAAAAUCAGUCAAUUUCCAGACCUUGUUGGCAUACUUGCAUCCAAUUAAGGAAUGAAAACCAUCUUCCUUCUCCUUACUACAUUUGCCACACAUUGGUUCCUUUAUGGCCUUUCUUUUCCAGAGGUUAUAGGCUGUUGGAAGCAUAUUCUGAGCUGCUCUCCACAUGAAAAUUUUAAUCUUUUCCGGGAUCUCCAUUGACCAAAUAAUCUUCCAAUGAGUUUUUGAUAAAUCUGAGCUGCUGGCCAAAUCUGGGGAUUUCAGUAUUAGAGAUAACUGAUACCCACUCUUAACAGAAUAAUUACCAUGCUUGUCAAAAUGCCAUAUCAAUUGAUCCAAUUGAGGAGAACUUGGAAGAAUGAUUCUUUUUAUUCUUGCUACAUCCUCUUCUGAAAAAUUAUGAGAAAUCACAUCUUCCUUCCAGGUUUGGUUGCUGAUCAGAUUAGCUACCACAGAAUUUGGGUGUAAUGUCUGGAUGGACAGAGGCUUUAGAUUUUCAGGCCUUGGAAUCCAGUUACUCUUAUAAACAUACACUUGCUCUCCGUUGCCGAUCCUCCAUCUUGAGCCUUUGUGAAUAAUCUGCCUGCCCCAAAGAAUGCUUCUCCACACAAAAGAUGGAUUUGAACCUAACUUUGCAUCCAUAAAACUGGAAUUCUUAAAGUACUUAGCCUUCAACACCCGAGCCAUCAAAGCCUCUGGAUUUUGAAUAAGUCUCCAGCCUUGCUUUGCAAUUAAGGCUUGAUUAAAGCAUGAAAAAUCUCGAAAUCCCAGCCCUCCUCUUAUCUUGGCUUGGCAUAGUCUCCCCCAUUUUGCCCAGUGAAUGCCUCUGUGCUUUCCUGCAGAACUCCACCAGAAUUUUGCUACAGCUUUUUGAAUGUCAUCGCAAAUGCUUUGAGGUAUUUUAAAUACGCUCAUAGCAUAUGCCGGCACCGCUUGAGCCACAGCUUUUAUGAGCACUUCCUUUCCCCCACAAGAAAAAAAUUUGCUUUCCCAGCUGGUUAACUUAUUAAGCACCCUUAGCUUGACAUAGUUAAAAAAAUUGGUCUUCUUUCUUCCCACCAUAGAUGGCAAUCCCAGGUACCUCUCAUGUCUCGAAACAACGUUCAAGUUAAAAAUGCUUCCUAUUUCAUCCAUUUGGCUCUGCUUUGUGUUGGUGCUGAAAAAUAUUGAAGACUUCUCAAAGUUGAAUAUCUGUCCCGAAGCAGCAGCAUACACUUCAAAGAUCUUCUUUAGGUGCCUGCAGUCUACACUGGAAGCCCUUGAGAAAACCAAGCUGUCGUCUGCAAAAAGGAGAUGAGAAAUAGACAAAUUUCUACUGAACUUCAGCCCCUGGAUCAGCUUUUGUUUUUCAGCCUGCAUGAGUAAAUUCGAGAACACCUCUGCACAAAUGAUGAAUAAAUAUGGUGAUAAUGGGCAGCCUUGUCUUAAACCUCUUUGAGGAUAGAUUAAACCUUUCACCUCCCCAUUAAUCAAAACUGAAAAGCUUGCUGUGGAUAUACAGUUCAUGAUCAAGUUCACCCAAUUUGCCGAGAAGCCUAGCUGCUGCAUUGUGGUUUUCAAGAAAUUCCACUCAAUUCUAUCAUAGGCUUUGCUAAUGUCUAGUUUGAGCGCUACCAACCCAUAUUUUUUACCCCUACUUUGCCUAAUUUUGUUUAGGCAUUCAUACUCGAUUAUUACAUUAUUCGUAAUUAGCCUAUUCGGGAUAAAAGCGCUUUGAGUUGGAGAGAUAAUAGUAUCCAAAAUUUGCUUUAACCUAUUUGCCAAGGUUUUUGCCACAAUCCUAUAAAUAACAUUACAAAGGCUAAUUGUCCGGAAAUCAGUUACUUUCCUAGGAUUUUGUAAUUUUGGAAUCAAGGCAAUGUAAGUAUGAUUUAAAUGAGCGAUACUACCUCCCUCAUUUAGGAUGUGCAGGCAGGUAGUGGUUACACCUUCCUUGACUGAGCUCCAGUGCUUAUGAUAAAAGGCUGCUGGGAGACCAUCCGGGCCUGGAGCUUUGGUGGGGCACAUCUGAGCAAGAGCCUCUGCUACUUCCUCGGCAGUGAACUGUUGAUCCAGAAAGCAAUUCGUUUCUUCCGUUACUCGCUUUGGUAGUUCUGCUACGGCUGUCUCCAGCUGAGUUUGGGAUGGAUUCGUUGUGCUGAAAAUGUUUGCAAAAUAAUCACACAACAAUCUUUCCACUUCUUCUGCUUCCUCUUUCCAUAAUCCAUCUUCAUCCUCCAGCCCCAUUAUCUUAUUUUUUCUUUUCCUCGCCGAUGCCUUAGCAUGAAAAAAUUUAGUAUUUCUGUCCCCUUCUCUCAGCCAAUCAGCCCUCGAUCUCUGCUUCCAGAAGAUUUCUUCGUCAAUUAGAAUAUUAUCAAUCUGUCUUUCUAUGUUUUUGACUUCUAAUCCGCUGUCAUAAUGGCCAUAGUUCUGUCUGAUUUCCUUUAACCUCUCCUUCAGCUGCUUCAGCCUUUUUUGUCUGCCCUUGAACUCCUCGUUACUCCAUAGCUUGAGUUCAGCUAGUGACUCCUUUGACUUCCUUUGAAACAGAUCAACAGGAUUUCCCCUGUCCCAACAGCUUGAUUCCUUCCACUCUCGCUUAACUAUUUCUCUACAUUUCUCAUAUGGGCUCCACAUAUCUUCAUAAUGAACUCUGCGGAAAGUUCUUCUGGAAUACCUCAAACCACUUCCUUUUUCCAACACUUCCAUAAGAAUUGGGUUGUGAUCGGAGCUCCAAGUCACUAGAUUCAUUGCUGCUUUCUCCUGGAAGUAAUUGCCCCAACUCCUACUGCAAAGAAAUCUAUCUAAUCUCUCUUCAAUCAACCCAACACCAAACCUCCUAUUUGACCAAGUAAAGGGAUACCCCGUAAAUCCCAUAUCUAUGAAAUCACAUUCCCUAACCGCUUCUCUAAAGUCAGCCACCGAGUUAACUUGUUUCUCAUUUCCUCCUAGCUUUUCAUUUAAAUUUAAGACUUCAUUAAAGUCCCCAAAACAGAGCCAGGGUAAAGAAGAUAACGUUGCUAACCUUCUCAAUAAUUUCCAAGUACGCUGUUUUUGAGUUGCUUCUGGAUGACCGUAUAUACCCGUACAUCUCCAAUAACUCCCCUUCUCACUAUAAACCACAGCAUCAAUAUGAUGACAACUGAAGGAUUUUAUUUCCACUGUUAUCUCCGAAUUCCAUAGCAUUGCCAAACCUCCCCCCAUUCCUUCUCUACUAACUGCAAAAUAGUUUGCAAAAUGCAGCUCGUAACUCCUUUUUCUCAUUUGCUCCCUCGUCAUUUUCGUCUCGCAAAAAAACACAAUUUGGGGCUUGUGCUCAUGGACUACCUCCUGAGCUUCUCGGAACGUCCGGUCGCUCCCCAAUCCCCGAACGUUCCAGCUUAAGAUCCUCAUGGCUGUCGGCGGGGCUGGUUUUCAGCCACCGCCGAUAAUUCAUUGACACUACAUGCAACUGCUUCCAUCUCUUCAUCCUCUAGCCUCAAUGUUGUAGCUUCUGUAAUGUUUAGUUGAGCUCGUUGAUGACAGCCAUAUUUUUUUGGGGUACUUCCUUUGAGCUUCUUUGAGUUUGGGCUUUCCAAAUUUAGCCAGCUAACCGACCUUUUUCCUUUUGUUUGCCCAUCUUUUGUUCCCCAUUUUCCUUCAUAAUUUCGUGCAUGAUACUUCCAUUUCCGUCUUUUGGGCCUAAGCUUUUCAUCCUUUAGCCCAUUGUUGCCAUCUUCGGCCUCUGACUCUAUUUGAAAGGAAAGCCCACUUGCCUUUUGUUUUUGCUCUAAACUUUCUAAUUUCCAGAUUUUUCCUUCCACUUCCCGCUCACCAUUUCCCGCUUCUUCUUCCACUAAAUUCAUGUCUUGUUGUAAUUUCUUUCCCGCCCAAUUUGUCCCUUUCCCAUGAACUGCAAUUUUGUCAGCCUGCUGCUCUGACCCUAAAUAGCUAUUCUCUAGCUCUCUGAGAUUUGCUGCUGCUUGUAUUAAAUGAUCAGCAUCACCUCCUUUACCCAUUUUUUUCUCUAAAGAAGGAUUAUCCAUACCCGAAUCCGUUUGGUUCUGGAUCAGAUUCCCUUCCACUUCUGCCCCUUUCUCCUCUACCUCACUUUGUCUCCUUUAUUUGAUCUGUAGUAGUUCAUUGUUUACUCCAGCUGAAUUUUUGGCAUUGAAUUGGCUGGAUUCUGUGCUCCAUCGAUCCUGUCCUCUACUUUGUCUUAGCCGUUUUGCCAUGGUUGUUGCUUUUAGCCAUGGGCCAUAAGCUAGCUGAUCUUUGGGUUGAGACUUAUAAUGACCACACUCUCUAUAUUGAUGACCGAUACGCCCACAGCAGAAGCAAAAAUCAGGGAGCCUUUCAUACUGCACCAGCAUUGGGAUCUCUUCCUUCUUCGUUUUUCUCAUCCCAUUUCUCCAUCUGUUCCAGCACAACAAUCUUCUUUAAUGGCUUUGUGAUGUCCACCGAAAUCCUCAUUCGUAAGAAUUUUCCUAUACAUUCCCCCGCUGCAUCCGUUUCAACUUCCUCUACUCUUCCGAUUGCUCCACCCAAUUCUGCAGCUGUCUCUUUUUCCAUACACAUAAUUGGAACAUCAUGUAAUUGUACCCAAAAGGAUACAUGAUUGAAGUUUAGUUUCUUAAUGUCUCCAAUUCCAGAAGGUUCGAUAAGCACGAUAAGUGCUCUAUCAAAAUGCCAUGGUCCACCCGCUAGAAUUCUUCUUUUAUCUUCAUUUGAUCCAAACUUGAACAUGAAAAUAUUAUCACCCAGUCCUUCAAUUUUGACUUCCUUGCCUGUUCUCCACACCUGUUGCAUUGCUACUCUCAAUCUUUCUACUUUGACUUCUCUUGAUAAGAAUAUUUUUCCGACCAAACAGCCUGUUAAUAUCUUUUCCCCUUUUGUUUUCAUUCUGCUCCUAAACGUGACUUUCCCUUCUUCUUCUUCACUUAGCUGGAUGGCUCUGCACCGCUUAAUUAACUCAUCUGUAUCCAUUUGCUUUAGCCGCCAGUAAUUAAGAACUGCAGCCAGUGGUUGGACACCAAACUCCUUAAAACUUUCUACCCAAAUCCUGCAACUCCUGCUUCUAAAAUUAAUCUAGAAUACUUCCUCUGAGAGCAUUAAAACCAACGAAAGUCAAAGACAGUUCAAAGAGCCACACUCAUGACGAGAGACUAAAGUUAGAGUCAUGACAACUCUGUUUACCACUCCCAUCCUUUUGUUUUCAGAGAAAACUUCAGGAGGGAUCUUUUUUCCCUACUCAAUUUUAAUGUUUUUGGUUGGUGGUCGUCAGCUCAUUAUAUAUAGAUGUAUAAAAUUUAAAUGACAUAAACGUGCUCUACAGAGUUAGGCAUGCACGUGUAACACAACAUUUGUUACUACUUAUUAGACGACCUUAGUCCAGAUACUAAGCACUUCCUAUUUCAGCUUCUAUUUUAGGCUGGAGUAAAAUUUGAAAUGCUCUUGUAUUUAUUCUUUCAAAAACUUUUGACCCCACACUCAAUAUUUUUGUUAUAAUUCGGUUCGCUUACGAAUUCGGGUUGGUAUGAAAUAAUAUAACAAGUAAGAACUGUGAAAGUUGUAAUAUAGUUGCUUGGUUGUUGAGAAAAAAAAAGAAGAAAAUAAAGGGAAAAAUGAAAUUGAAAUAAAAGAGUUGUAUUAUUAUUACACGCAACUGUACAUAAGCGAAUUGUAUUUAUAUUGUAUCAAUGUAACUAACUUGUUAAUAACAAAUUUAUUAGCUUACCAAUAGUAGAAUGACAAAUGUAUAAUCUUAAACAAACUUGAGCCAUGCUGACUAACUAACUAAUGAAACUUGCUGAGCUUUAGCUGCUAAGCAUGCUAGAACCUUCUAAAUCAUGUUGGAACCUUCACAUCCCCCCUCAAGUACAACAUUGGAAACAAUGUUGAGCUUGGAAUGAAGAUAGUAAAAUGGCUGAAAGGGUAAGGCUUUAGUGAAAAUAUUUGUUGUCUGAUCAAGGCUGGGAAUGUUUGAAUGUGCAAGCUUUUGUUAGCUACCUUUUCUCGUAAAAAAUGAACAUCAAAUUCAAUGUGUUUAGUUUGAGAGUGAAAUUUAGGAUAGCUGGCUAGAGUUAUGGUACUUUGGUUAAAAUACCAAAUAACAUGGAUAAAUGUAGGAGAAACAACAAGUUUAGUAAGGAUCUAAUCUAGAGCACUUUUGAGGUUGCUAUAGCAAGGGCACUAUACUCAGACUCAUUGUUGGACCUGGAAACUACAGGCCGCUUUUUAGAACACCAUGAGACCAGAUUACGUCCUAAAUAGACAUAAUAGCUAGCAACUAAUCUUUCAUUAUCUUUAUCAAUUGCCCAAUCUGCAUUUGAAAAACAUUCAAGAUAAAGUGAACCUGAUAAGUAGAAAAAAAGAUCAAGAUUAAUGGUGCCUUUAAAAUAUCUCAACACCCUUUUGCAAGCUUGCCAAUGGACCUCAAUAGGUGUACUAAGGAAUUGACCGAGCUUAUUAACAAAAAAUGCAAUUUCCGGUCUUAUGAGACUGACAUUUUAAAGAGCACCAAUUGUGCUUCUGUACAAGCUAACAUCUGAGAAUGAAACACCAUUAGUUUGAGUUAAAGGAUUCCCAGAAGCCAUAGGAGUAGCACAUGGUAUGCUAUCUUACAUAUUGACUUUGGCAAGUAGAUUAGCUACAUAUUUGGAUUAAGAAAGAAGCAAGCCAGAAGUAUUUUGAGUAACUUGAAUACCCAAUAAAUAAUGAAGAUCUCCCAAAUCCUUCAAGGCAAAUGUUGAUUUCAAAUCAGUGAUAAUUUGAACAAUUAAAGAAUGACUGGAUCCAGAUAAUAUCAUCAACAUAUAACAGGAGAAGAGUGAGCUGGUUAGCUUGUCUUUUAAAGAAUUGGAGUUAGAGAAACCCCACUGAGUAGUUAAAGCUAGUUUAAAUCUUUCAAACCAGGUUCUUAGGCUUGUUUAAGCCCAUUUCAAGCUUUAUGAAGCUUACACACAUGAGUAGGUCGAGCUAGAUCGACAAAACCUUCUCUUUGUUGUGUGUAUCAUAUUCAUGACCCCUUAUUCUCUUUUGAAACUGCAAAAUGAUUCAAGGUGGCAUGUUAAAUGAAACAUUCUUAUAAAGAGCUCCACUAUUAGUUGGAUUUUAUUUCUACUCCUUAUAUUAGCAUGUGAACAUUAAGUCAUUAACAUAAUAUAGAACUUAGAACUUUCGUUAUGCAAUAUUGGGCCCUUGAGAGUUUCAGAGUUUUCAACCCUUAACAAUUUGUGUUUUAGAGUAGGAUAACCUGAUGAGUAAAAAUGAUUAAUAUUUUUCUCAAAAGAUGUAUAGUGAGAGUAAUUUUUUUUUUUUUUUUGGGUAGGUUUUUCCAGAUUGGCUCUAUUUUUCUUGCUCUGCAUGAUGCAAGUGAUGUUUUUAUGGAAGUUGCCAAAGUUUUUAAGUAUUUUGAGAAUGAACUUGGAGCAACUGUGAUCUUUGGAUUAUUUGCAAUAUCUCGGGUCAUUCUACAAUUAAUAUUCUUUUCCUUUCGGGUCAUCAAAUGUACAAGGUUUGCCUGCAUGAUAAAUGAUGUGAUGCCACUUUAUGUGGUCGUCUAGCAGUUUCUUUGGCUUAUUUGCUUUUGUGAUUUGCAUUUUCUAGCUAUGAUCUUUAGUUCUACUUGAACUUAUCAGAGAUAUGUUCAUUUACUACAUGUUCAAUACAAUGUUGCUGAUGCUCUUUGUGUUCCAGAUAUACUGGUGGGUUCUCAUAUCCUCAAUGAUCUGGAGACGGCUGAAAAGUGGUAAACUUAGGGAAGACAUAAGAUCUGGUAAGCAUUUUGAUGCUUCCAUUAUCAGUUUGAAUCAUUUAAUGUCAUCAAUUAUUCCCAGUAGUCUUUCUCAAAUAAUCAUUGUUUUUGCUUUGAUAGUCUGCAGGAAACUUGAUCCCAUAUAAUAGUUUUGCUAGAACUUAAUUAGUUAUAUUCAUAUGUGCCUAAGCCUUAGCCAUAUUUAAGUUCUUGUUUCAAAACCCAGAUAUAAUGAACUUAUAAUUGGAUAUUAAUUGUAAAUCAAACAAAAGGGUAAAGGAAUUAAUUAGUUAUAUUCACAUAUGCCUAAGCCUUGAAGGAAAGUUAACUGCCUUUAUGGGUACCCUUUUGGUUCCACAUUUUAUUGCAGCAAAGAAUUAAUUUAAGUUACAUCAGAAACUUGGAGUUUUACUUCAAUAGAUAAUUAUUUAUAAUGAUACUAUUGGCUAUAGUCAAUUGGUGUUGCACCUGCAGGUUGAGAGAAAUUGCUGGACUUAAGAGUUUUGCUGGGUAUUUGUUGAGAAUGAGAGUUUAUCUACUGGAAUUUCACUGAGAAUAUGGGAGGUGUUUUGCACUACAAGAUUUGACGGCUUCAUAGCUUGUAAAAUUUAAAGCAUUUGCUCGAGUUAACUUUUUUUUAUUACUUUGGAUGUGUUAAUUUUUGGAUACAAGUGUUUUUGGAUGAUAUUAUUAAUAUAAAGCGUUUUUAGACUUGAUAGAAUGUAUAGUCUAAUUUUUGGUUUAUAUUGAAUUUGUGAUUAAAUUCAUAUGCAAGAAUGCAUAGAUUUAAAUAAAAUAAUUCAGAAUUUCUUUUAAUAUAAAUUUAGAUCCUGUGACAAAAAAAUCAGUCAUAAAUUAUGUCACAAACAAAAUAAUUAAUGAUAAAAAAUUUCAAUCAUUAAUUCCAUCACAAACAAAAUAGUUUACCCACUAAAAUUAUUGGAUAAUAAUUUACGUGUAAAAAAUAAUUUUCUAGCUAAAAUUUAAGAUAAAAAAUUAAUUAAAAUAUUCAUUUUUAAGAUGACAAACAUAUGACUUCGAAACACUAUAAUAAAUUAUUGACAUGCUUUUUCUUUAUCAUAAAAGAGUAACAAGUACAUAGAUAAUAGAUAAAUUCACUGUCAUCUACCUCCCUUUAUGAUAAUUUUUUUCAGUCAUCUAUUGUUAGUUUUCUUAUAGUGUAAAAUCUUAAAUUAUAUUACUGUUUAAAAUAAAAGCUUAAUUCCUUUGGAAUAAAUUAUUCGGUCCCCUGUGAAUGAUCAUCUUAAAAUUGAAUUCGUUCUUGCAAAAUGAAAAUUUCUCUUCGACAUUGGUGGGCGGAAAAUCUGAUCCCUUAAUCACUUAUUUUAGUUCUUUACAAUAGCCCAUCCAAUUGAUUCAUCCCUGGAGAAAACUUACUCACAAAAGUUGGAUUGGAAUAUUUUAAUAUAACGUAUACCAUGAUUUAAGCUCUAACAAUUCAAUUAUUACAUGCACAAUCACUAUGGAGGUCUGAAACUGGAACUCAUAAGACAAAUUAAUGUUGACGACGAAUCGCUAUCCAACCAAAUAAAAUUUCAUCGUUUGAUGUGCUAAGUUUCAAGAGCAUAGGAAAAGAUUAAAAGCUCUACUGACUAAUUUUCUUAAGGUACAAGAACAUGUUUAUACAUGAGUAGAGGAAUUAUCUAUGGAAGAAACGUAUUUGAUGUAGUGCGGAAGCGAUACUAGAUAUUGUUUUAGCGUACGUUCUUGAAAUUGAAGAAAGAAUAACUCUCUAGGAGAGAAAUCGUCGAAUUAAUGAUAAGAUAAACUCAGAGAAUAAACUGAAAUAUUAUUGAUAAAAGGUUUAAAGGUGUUAUAAUAAACUACCAAUAACAAUAGUAUUUUUACUAUUAGCUAAUUUAAUCCUAAUCAUUCUCAUCUAAGAGAAAUAAUAUGAAAUCCUAAUUAAAUUAGAAUUACAAAUACGAUCCAAAUAAGUAUAAUAAAACAAGUUAAAUUUAAUAAAAUACUAAAGAAUAAAUUAACUCAAAAUUUAGAAUUCCUAACUUAUUCUGUCCCAUAUGCUUCCCACAUCAAUCUCUACAUCUUCGAAAAGAACAUCCUCGAGUUUUGCUGAAAACAGAAAAUAAUCUGGAGGAUAAAAUUUGUGGUGAAGAAGUAAUUGAUCUUGUAACGUGAACUUGUAGCACUUUGCAUCAACUUUUCUUGAAAUUCGAAAGUACCAAAACUUCAAUUUCUUCUUAAUUUUGAGUAUGGCUCUUCUAAAAUAUGCAAACUUGUACGAACAAACCAUUAGAAUUUCCUUUUAACUUUCUCUAUGCUUUGCUCAAUGUAUUUUUCAUUCAAUUUCUCCUUCUGAACUAAAUCUUCUUUAAGCACAAAUUUAUCUUCAAUGUAGAUACAGAUAACCAUAUCAAUUAUAUCAGUUCUUCAAGAACAAUUUGCUUAGCUCCAUGAAUAAUUGAUAAAACUAUAUCAACUUUGAUUAAAAUAUGAUAAAUAAGUUGACAAAUUUAAUAAUAGAAACUUAAGGGAAACUUAAGUUACAUCAGAAACUUGGAGUUUUACUUCAAUAGAUAAUUAUUUAUAAUGAUACUAUUGGCUAUAGUCAAUUGGUGUUGCACCUGCAGGUUGAGAGAAAUUGCUGGACUUAAGAGUUUUGCUGGGUAUUUGUUGAGAAUGAGAGUUUAUCUACUGGAAUUUCACUGAGAAUAUGGGAGGUGUUUUGCACUACAAGAUUUGACGGCUUCAUAGCUUGUAAAAUUUAAAGCAUUUGCUCGAGUUAACUUUUUUUUAUUACUUUGGAUGUGUUAAUUUUUGGAUACAAGUGUUUUUGGAUGAUAUUAUUAAUAUAAAGCGUUUUUAGACUUGAUAGAAUGUAUAGUCUAAUUUUUGGUUUAUAUUGAAUUUGUGAUUAAAUUCAUAUGCAAGAAUGCAUAGAUUUAAAUAAAAUAAUUCAGAAUUUCUUUUAAUAUAAAUUUAGAUCCUGUGACAAAAAAAUCAGUCAUAAAUUAUGUCACAAACAAAAUAAUUAAUGAUAAAAAAUUUCAAUCAUUAAUUCCAUCACAAACAAAAUAGUUUACCCACUAAAAUUAUUGGAUAAUAAUUUACGUGUAAAAAAUAAUUUUCUAGCUAAAAUUUAAGAUAAAAAAUUAAUUAAAAUAUUCAUUUUUAAGAUGACAAACAUAUGACUUCGAAACACUAUAAUAAAUUAUUGACAUGCUUUUUCUUUAUCAUAAAAGAGUAACAAGUACAUAGAUAAUAGAUAAAUUCACUGUCAUCUACCUCCCUUUAUGAUAAUUUUUUUCAGUCAUCUAUUGUUAGUUUUCUUAUAGUGUAAAAUCUUAAAUUAUAUUACUGUUUAAAAUAAAAGCUUAAUUCCUUUGGAAUAAAUUAUUCGGUCCCCUGUGAAUGAUCAUCUUAAAAUUGAAUUCGUUCUUGCAAAAUGAAAAUUUCUCUUCGACAUUGGUGGGCGGAAAAUCUGAUCCCUUAAUCACUUAUUUUAGUUCUUUACAAUAGCCCAUCCAAUUGAUUCAUCCCUGGAGAAAACUUACUCACAAAAGUUGGAUUGGAAUAUUUUAAUAUAACGUAUACCAUGAUUUAAGCUCUAACAAUUCAAUUAUUACAUGCACAAUCACUAUGGAGGUCUGAAACUGGAACUCAUAAGACAAAUUAAUGUUGACGACGAAUCGCUAUCCAACCAAAUAAAAUUUCAUCGUUUGAUGUGCUAAGUUUCAAGAGCAUAGGAAAAGAUUAAAAGCUCUACUGACUAAUUUUCUUAAGGUACAAGAACAUGUUUAUACAUGAGUAGAGGAAUUAUCUAUGGAAGAAACGUAUUUGAUGUAGUGCGGAAGCGAUACUAGAUAUUGUUUUAGCGUACGUUCUUGAAAUUGAAGAAAGAAUAACUCUCUAGGAGAGAAAUCGUCGAAUUAAUGAUAAGAUAAACUCAGAGAAUAAACUGAAAUAUUAUUGAUAAAAGGUUUAAAGGUGUUAUAAUAAACUACCAAUAACAAUAGUAUUUUUACUAUUAGCUAAUUUAAUCCUAAUCAUUCUCAUCUAAGAGAAAUAAUAUGAAAUCCUAAUUAAAUUAGAAUUACAAAUACGAUCCAAAUAAGUAUAAUAAAACAAGUUAAAUUUAAUAAAAUACUAAAGAAUAAAUUAACUCAAAAUUUAGAAUUCCUAACUUAUUCUGUCCCAUAUGCUUCCCACAUCAAUCUCUACAUCUUCGAAAAGAACAUCCUCGAGUUUUGCUGAAAACAGAAAAUAAUCUGGAGGAUAAAAUUUGUGGUGAAGAAGUAAUUGAUCUUGUAACGUGAACUUGUAGCACUUUGCAUCAACUUUUCUUGAAAUUCGAAAGUACCAAAACUUCAAUUUCUUCUUAAUUUUGAGUAUGGCUCUUCUAAAAUAUGCAAACUUGUACGAACAAACCAUUAGAAUUUCCUUUUAACUUUCUCUAUGCUUUGCUCAAUGUAUUUUUCAUUCAAUUUCUCCUUCUGAACUAAAUCUUCUUUAAGCACAAAUUUAUCUUCAAUGUAGAUACAGAUAACCAUAUCAAUUAUAUCAGUUCUUCAAGAACAAUUUGCUUAGCUCCAUGAAUAAUUGAUAAAACUAUAUCAACUUUAUCACCUUCAAGAACAAUUGUUGUCUUUUCACCUAGAGCUUGUUGCACAAUUUUAACUAUAUCAUUAGAUAUAAAACUCAAAUCAAGAAUGGAUUGUACCUCUUUAUUGGAAACUUCAUGUUUAUUUAGAAUCUUUUCAAAAGAAGAUUUUGUGACAUUCUUCUUUUCCAAUGAUGAAAUCGAUAAAACUUUAUCUUCCACAUUUAUAUCUUCAACUUCAAAAUCUUGGAUAAAUUCUUUCUUUUUACUUAUUGCAAUAGUUGAAUCUUGAAUAAUCAAUAUAUCUUUAAUAACUUCUAUUUCAAGCACAACAUUUCUUUUUAUGUCCAAACUAUCAACCUCAAGAGUGAAAGAAGGUUGCUCUUCAAUAAUAGAAUCCUUCGGUGAUGAGAUUUUCACUAUAGGAUCUUGCUUCAACGAAGAACUAUCUUAUUUUAGAACAAAUUGUACGAGACUCUUGAUCUUUUUGUCUUUGAUUGUCACCAUGCUCUUGCACUCAUUCAAAUCUCUUCAAUGCUUGCUUUCUCUCUUUCUUGACCUGCAAUUCGACUUUAAAAGUAAAUUUAAUGACAUACCAAUAUUCAUGAGUAUGAUCAAUUUGGAACAAACUCAUUCUUUAGUAUUAGCAUGUAAUCUUUUCACAAAUCUUGAAAUUGUAUUUCAUUAUCUUUAAAAAGAUUCACAUGACAACGAUAAUUUUGAAGUUGAGAUUCAUAAAAUCAAACAUAAUUUGUAUCUUGUUGACGCUUAUCAAAUUUACGAUGGAUUGUUUGAAAAUAUUCAAGAGGUAAAAAAUAAGUUUUUGUCUUCCUUUUCAUGUUAUGCCAAGUUCAAGUCUUGUCUCUUCCAUAUUGAAGUCGUUUUGCUUGUAAAUUUGUCCACCAUUGCGAUGCAUGUCCGAUUAAUUUAAAUGAAACAUACUCAACAUGUGUAUCCUAUAGAAAGAAUAUCUUCAAGAGUAUCUUCAAUUUUGAAAAUCUAAUUGAAAAUAUCCCAAGAAUUAGUUAAUCCAUCAUAAUAGAAAAAGAUCAUUGUCAUCUUUUCUAUAUCUCAAUGUACCACUUUUGUUUUUAAAUUUUCUCUUUUUUCUUUUUUGUUUUGGGGUCUUUUAUAAGAACAGAAAUAUUAAAAGGAUAAUAAUGUAAUUAAAAGAAAAUAUUAGGCAAAACUUAUAAAUAAGUUAAAAUAUGGAUUUACCGGCGAUGAUGAUUGGAAAAGGAAAGGUAUAUCUAGAAGAGUUGAUGAUGGUGAGUGUGAUGGUGGUGGUGGUUUCACUCGGAUCAUGAUAGUUGAUCAGAAAAUUGAAGUGAUUGGAGGUAUGUUUUGGUUUUCGGUGAGUGGGGUGCGGUUGGCAGAGGGAUUUGGUUGAAAAAAGAGGUCUGAUGAAGGGAAGUAAUUUGGUUCUGGUGGUGGCUGGUAAAUGGGAUGGACAACAUCGAAACGAGAAGUGUUUGGUGUGGCAUUUUAACGACUCUUUUGGGUAGUUUUCAGCGGCUGAAAUGGUGGAUUGAUGGUUCUUGAUGGGUGGGAUUUGGUCGGUGACGUGAGUACAUUCAGAUGGGGUGAGGAUCUUCGCUGAAAGAAGAAGGAUGCCAAAGGCAACAGCCUUGCGCGGUGGCUGUGAGGUGGCUUCAAGUUUUGCUGUUUUUUUCUUUUUUCACUUGGUGGAAUUAAUGGAUAAGGAGGAAGGAUUUGAGUAUAGAAGACUAUUGAUGGUUAAGAAAGCUCUACUUAGAAUAGAUAAAGGCUCUGAUAGGCAGUGUGAAAGUAAUAUUAGAUCCCGUUCUAGUACGUUCUUGAAACUCAAGAAUAACUCUUAAGAGAGAAACCAUUGAAUUAAUAAUAAAAAUAAAUUCAAAGGGAAUAAUCUAAAAUAUUGUUGAUGAAAAGUGUAAAGGUGUUACAAUAAAUUAUUAAUAACAAGCCUAUUUGUACUAAUAACUAACUUAAUCCUAAUCAUUCUCAAAUAAUCUAAAUAAUCUAAAAUCUUAAUUAAACUAGAAUUACAAAUACCACUUAAAUAAGUAUAAAAAAAUAAGAUAAAUCUUAAUAAAAUACUAAAUAUUAAGUUGAUUCAAAAUUUAGAAUUCCUAAUUUAUUUGACCCUAUAUGCUUCAUACUUUAAUAUAACAGAAAUCAUGAAAUACUUUCUAAACUCAGUCAUUGACUAACCGUUGGCUAAAUUAUUGUGAAUAUGAGGAGAAUUUGGACUUGAAAUGAUAAUGGACUGUGUGAGGCGUUUCAGUUGUAAGUCUUUUGUUAGAGCAAUAUAGAUUGUCAUUUUUGUUUUCCAGUGAUUUGUUACUUGCCAUGUUGAUGCAAGAUUGAGUUGGUGUGCUGAUUCCAAAUUGGUACGCGACUCGUGUGGCUACUUGUGCUUUAUGUGUUGUGUUUGUUUGAAUUUCGCAGUGGUGGGCAUUGUAUCUUAACAUAAUGCAACAAGCUCAAUAGCCCAACAAUAUGAAGUAUUUAUUACUACACCUAUCUGUACAUAAAAUUGUUAUUUAUAAUGUACAAAUGGAUUCGAAUCCUUCUUAUUUUUUCUCUCUUUAUCUCUUCUUUUCUUCGUAAUCUGGUGGAAAAAAGCUAGCUUGAUUAUAAAUAAAUUAAAAAAAUAAAUAUAGAGGUAAGAGGAAAAUUAAAAAAUAAAGAGAAGAUCCUUAUCCAUUCAAAUAGAGCAGCAUUAAAUGGCAUUUUCGGUAAUGGAAGCUUGAACUUAAAGCCCAUCAGUCUCUAGUAUUUGUGUGAUCAUUGGGUUAAUCUGGGGAGAAAGCAAAAUAAAAACUAAAACAAGGACAAGAUAUAUGAUAAAUUAAUUUUUUAAUCUAAAUUGGAAAAUUUUGAUCAAUUGACCUUAGAGCCGGUGACCUUUUCAAAAUUUUUGCCAACAGUUCUAUAUGCUUAAAUGAAAAUGCUAUUGAUAAAAGAAACUAAAUUCCCAUUAAUUUUCCUUAAAAACAUUUUAAAUAAAAUCAUUCAUCAAAUCAUAAUGUUGAAAAAUUAAAGAAUUUUAGUGAAUAUAUAAAUUUAAAUGAAUUUUAGCUUCAUUAGAGUACUAGAAUGAAAAUGCAUGUCACCUAUUUUAAUAGUAUUUUGAGUUUUGUUUCUUUUAAAAGGGUUAGGCAAGAUCCCUUUAUUUGUAUAUUAAAAUAAAAAUGAAAAUAAAAACAUUUGGUAGACCAAAACCCGCAAGGUAAAAAAUAACCAACAAAAGAAAAAUAGCAAAAGUAAAUAAAAGAAAUAAAGAAUAAACAAGAGAACACCCUAAGGCAAACCUAAUAAAAUAAACCAUAUGAAGGUGAGCUAACUCUUAGAAUACCGUUUACUAUAGUACUUGCGUCCAAUGACUAACUAAAAGCGCUUUUUUGAACAUGAGGUAUGAGGCUAGUAACACUAAAGUCGGGGCUAAGAUCACAUUCCAUAGUACCCUCAAGCUUAGAUAAAAAGUAUUCAUUAGCUAUAAUGAGAAGGAAUAUCUAGAGAGUGGGAAUUGAAACCUAUAGCCAUUGCGCGAAUAUUAUCCACUGUAGCUUAGAAAACGUAGAGCCCAUGGAUAUCACCCAAAGCAUCCAAAAUCAUAUCAUCACCAUCAUUAGUCAUAUUAACUAGGAUCUGCAAAAAAUAAUCACCGCGAUCCCAAGGCUUAACAACUAGAUCAGACUGAAUAGGAAUGGCAAUAUCAUCAAUAAUAAGAUCAUUAGUAAAAAUUAGAAUUAGAAUGAGGCCACUUGGCCAACUAAAUCCACAUCAUCAUCUCGAGCAUCAGAAAUAGGGAUUCUAGCAUCUUGAAAUGCACUUGUAGUAACAUCGGGCCAUAAAGGCUGAACCACCCCACGAAAAAUAGGCUGCUAAGUCAAACCAGAAAAUUGUCCUUAAACAAAAGAAGGCUAAGCAAUAGGCCCCCCAUGUUGAUUAUCUACAACAACAACAUAUUGAGGAACAAUGAGAACCUAAGGCUGAACAUCUAUAACAGACAUAAAUUACUUACCUUUAUCUCUAGUAUCUUUACCCUGAGGUUUAUUAAUAGGUUGUUGGGGCUUUUGAAGCCCAUAAUUACUACGUAGCAACCAUUUACAUAAUGACCAAAAUGCUUAUACAAAAUACAAUAAGAAACAACCUAUUAAAAAAUCCUACUAAAAGUCAGAAUCACCCUCACUAAUCCAAAGGCAAGGUAAACAAUGUCACAAAACAUCAUUUUCUAUCAAAACUGUAGCAACUGAAGGCCUAUUAAUAGAACCAAUAGCAUGGUCAACACGUAACGUUUUCCCUAUCAUACCAACUACUAAACAUGAUGCUUCUUUGUAAUGAAUAAAGUGAAUAGGUAAAUACAACAAAGAAACCCAAAUAGAAACCACAAGGGAUUCCUUAGAACAAUAAAUGGCAGUGGGCCAUUUAAAGAUCCUCAUAGCUUUACGACUGAUAUAUCAUUUCUGCCCAACCCAAAUUUCGAGGAUAGUCUUCCUCUAACUGAAGCUUUCUUAAAACAUGUCAGUUAUCAAGCAAGGUACUUGAGUACUUCUUUUUAAGCCAAGGAGAUAAAAAAAUUCCUAAUCAUCUCCAUUGGAGGUGGCUAAAAGAGAACUUACCCACCAGAGACAGCUUGAAUGGUUUAGCCAUGGUCGAAACCUCAGCAACUAUAAAAUGAAUAGCAGGUUUGCCUCGAUGAAGGAUGCCCAUAUUAACAAAUAAAUAUAGGCAAUACGAACCUACAACAAUAUCAACAAAGGAUUUAGAGGGCCUAGAGGCAACAUUAGGGUCAAGGAUGGACACUAGAUUGACUGCAGAAGCAUAUAAUAACUUAGGGAUAGUAGAAGAGUAAUAGGUAGAAGGAUUUGUGCUGGUGGUCAAGCUUAGGUGGGCCCAUAAAUAGGUUGCACACUAUCAGUGUUUGUUUUGUCACGAUCUAAGGUUUGAGAUAGAUUGUGAGCAUGCAUUUGCAAAGAGGCA